rnacentral:misc_RNA from 1 species
AAGUCGUAACAAGGUAACCGUAGGUGAACCUGCGGUUGGAUCAUUAACAAAUAUGUAGUGUUUAGAACACUCUGAUUGACUUCGGUCGAUUAUACACCCUGUGCAUUGUUUUGGAAUUUAUUCCAUAUCACUCUUUAUUGUCUGAAUUAAGAAUCUAAAAUUAAAAAAACAACUUUUAACAACGGAUCUCUUGGCUCUC